UCCUGCCAGUUGUCAUAUGCUUGUUUCAAAGAUUAAGCCAUGCAAAUGUAAGUAUAGGUCGACAGAAUCUUUCGGGGUUGAAUGUACGACGAGACUGUGAACGGCUCAUUAAAUCAGCAAUAAUUAAAUCGGUGGAUGUUGGAAGACGGAGACGGAUAACCGUGGUAAAUCUAUAGCUAAUACGUGGAAAGAGAGAUAUUGACUGUGAUGGAGGAGUGAAUAUGAAGGAUAUUAGGAGAGUAGACAGAAAAGGAAGGAGAGUGAUUGAUAGUAUGUGAGUGGAUCGUAGAGAAAGAGACGACGAGCCGAACAAAUUUCUGCCCUAUCAACUGUGGACGGUAGCAUAGAGGGCUACGGUGGUGAUGACGGGUAACGGAGAAUUAGGGUUCGAUUCCGGAGAGGGAGCAAGAGAAAUGGCUGCCAUGUCUAAGGAUAGCAGCAGGCGCGUAAAUUACCCAAUCCUGACACAGGGAGGUAGUGACAACAAAUAACACGGGUCGGUGGUUUGGUAAAACAAAGGCCGACUGGGGUGCAAUGAGAACAACGCAAAGUCCUUAUCGAGUAGCAAUUAGAGGGCAAGUUCUGGUGCCAGCAGCCGCGGUAACUCCAGCAUCUAAGAGUUUAUACGAAUGUUGUUGCAGUUAAAACGCUCGUAGUUGGAAGGAGAAGAAAAGAAGAGAAAGAAUAGGAAAGUAGGAUUUGUUUUUUUUUCUUUAAGGAAAGUAUAUAUUGGUGAAAAGAUAUAUAGAAAUUUACUUUGAAUAAAUUAGAAUGUUUCAAGUAGUUUUUAUAAGAAAGAUUAUAAAAGUGAUUGAAUAAGAAAGCAUGGGAUAAGAGAAGAAGAUUUGAAAGAACAAGAGUGUUUGGAUGUGGUUUUUUUGAAUAAUGAUAAAGAGGAACGGUUGGGGGUAUUUGUAUUGAAUAGUCAGAGGUGAAAUUCAAGGAUUUGUUCAAGACAAACAUCAGCGAAAGCAUUUACCAAGGACGUGUCCAUUAAUCAAGAACGAAAGCUUGGGGAUCGAAGAUGAUCAGAUACCGUCGUAGUCCAAUGCCAUAAACGAUGCCGACCAAGGAUGAGAGGUAGAAAGAAAAGUAGAGAUCUAUUGAUUUUGCAGGUUGUUUUUGUUUUUCUUUGUUGAUUUGAAAGAAGAAAGAAAGAAGAAGAAGAAGAAAAAGCAAAAAGAAUAGAUAAGAAAAAAAAAAAAGACUCCUUUUGAAUUUUUGAGGGAAACCAUUGAGUGCUUGGGUUCUGGGGGGAGUAUGGUUGCAAGGCUGAAACUUGAAGGAAUUGACGGAAGGGCACCACCAGGUGUGGAAUCUGCGGCUUAAUUCGACCCAACACGGGGAAACUUACCAGGUCCGGACACAGUGAGGAUUGACAGAUUGAAGAUCUUUCUUGAUUUUGUGGUUGGUGGUGCAUGGCCGUUCUUAGUUCGUGGAACUGAUCUGUCUGCUUAAUUGCGAUAACGAACGAGACCUUUGUUUAUUAAUUAGUUGGAGGAUAAGAGAGCUAUUCGUCCAGAUAGGAGUGCGCCUGCGCAUGAAUAAGACUAAGUGAUUAGUCAACUUCUUAGAAAAGAC
rnacentral:rRNA from 1 species